UAACACCCUUUCCAUGUCCAUAAAGCAACCAUGUUCAGCAUCCAUCAUCAUCCCUCCAUCAUUUGCUCUUACCUUUGAUAUGCCUUUUUUUUGCACCUCAGGUGGUCUUUCCCAUGCAAACCCUAAUCCAAGAUUACGUAGAUAAUAUGGUUCAUGAUUACUUUUGUGAAUUAAGAGGCAUCAGAGCAGCAGCUUCAACACCAAUACCCUUAGGCAUAUAAAUGGAAGUUGAAGAAAUCAUAGAAGCUAUGAUUGAGAGAGCCCAAGGAUUCUGAAGUGAUGAAGAUUUCGAGCUGCUUGAUGCUAAUUUCCUUUCCUUGGGUUGCUCGCCGCCUAGACGGCAACAUGCCCUCGGGCGUGCCCUUGAGAAGACCACCAACGAUGUUGGCAAGCACAUGAUGGAGAACAAAAAGGCAUGCCAAGCUACAGUCGCUGCUUCGACAGCAGGUUUUGUCGACCAUCCCUUCUCUCACUGCACGGCGAACAAACUUUACGUCAUGCAAAGAGAAUGUAUGAAUGAACAAAACGUUGAGGUUGAUGGGUGUGACAAUCUAGGCCAUGGGCGUUAUCAGCUGGUCCAACUUUAUGUGCCCUUUCAUUCCCUGAAACAAGGGGGAGAAAGUUCUGUUGCUUUGAAACGAAA